UGGGGAAUAUUGCACAAUGGAGGGAACUCUGAUGCAGCAACGCCGCGUGCGGGAUGACGGCCUUCGGGUUGUAAACCGCUUUCAGCCAUGACGAAGCUUUUGUGACGGUAGUGGUAGAAGAAGCACCGGCUAACUACGUGCCAGCAGCCGCGGUGAUACGUAGGGUGCGAGCGUUGUCCGGAAUUAUUGGGCGUAAAGAGCUUGUAGGCGGUUUGUCGCGUCGAAAGUGUAAACUCAGUGCUUAACGCUGAGCCUGCUUUCGAUACGGGCUGACUAGAGGAGGGUAGGGGAGAAUGGGAUUCCCGGUGGAGCGGUGGAAUGCGCAGAUAUCGGGAGGAACACCAGUGGCGAAGGCGGUUCUCUGGACCUUUCCUGACGCUGAGAAGCGAAAGCGUGGGUAGCAAACAGG
rnacentral:rRNA from 1 species